GCCCGCCUAGCUCAAUCGGAUAGAGCGUCAGACUCUUAUUUAGGCGGGUAUCUGAAGGCUGCGAGUUCGACCCUCGCGGUGGGCU